AUGGAUCCUCUCCCAAUAUUGGAGCAGAAGUUAAAAUUUAUAGCUGUAAGAGUUUGUUACAGGGUGGAUUUCUUUGAGCUUUUGAAUCGAUGCCGGCUACUGGUUUUGGAACUGGUCUUGUUGAUGUCUGCAGGGCAGGUUCUGUUUGGUAUAACAAGGUCCUGUUUUUUUGUUGUUGCAGAUUUCAAACCACAAUUUGAUGUCAAGGUAGAAACUUUGGUGUCAUUUGGCGAGAGGAAGAUAAGCCUUAGGAACUUUAGAUAA